AUUGAACGCUGGCGGCAGGCCUAACACAUGCAAGUCGAGCGGAUGAAGGGAGCUUGCUCCUGGAUUCAGCGGCGGACGGGUGAGUAAUGCCUAGGAAUCUGCCUGGUAGUGGGGGAUAACGUCCGGAAACGGGCGCUAAUACCGCAUACGUCCUGAGGGAGAAAGUGGGGGAUCUUCGGACCUCACGCUAUCAGAUGAGCCUAGGUCGGAUUAGCUAGUUGGUGGGGUAAAGGCCUACCAAGGCGACGAUCCGUAACUGGUCUGAGAGGAUGAUCAGUCACACUGGAACUGAGACACGGGCCAGACUCCUACGGGAGGCAGCAGUGGGGAAUAUUGGACAGUGGGCGAAAGCCUAAUCCAGCCAUGCCGCGUGUGUGAAGAAGGUCUUCGGAUUGUAAAGCACUUUAAGUUGGGAGGAAGGGCAGUAAGUUAAUACCUUGCUGUUUUGACGUUACCAACAGAAUAAGCACCGGCUAACUUCGU
rnacentral:rRNA from 1 species